UACGUAGGGGGCGAGCGUUGUCCGGAGUUACUGGGCGUAAAGCGCACGCAGGCGGUCUGCUAAGUUUGGAGUGACAGUUGGUGGCUUAACUGCCAAAGUGCUUCGAAAACUGACAGACUUGAGGGCUUCAGAGGGACACGGAAUUCCGGGUGGAGUGGUGAAAUGCGUAGAGAUCCGGAGGAACAACAAAGGCGAAGGCAGUGUCCUGGGGAGUGCCUGGCGCUCAGGUGCGAAAGCCAGGGGAGCGAACGGG
rnacentral:rRNA from 1 species